GCUGGGUGGGAGCCGAGUGCUCCUGGACCAACUCCCCGAGGAGGAACGCGGCCUGGGGUCUGGUCCGCCGCGUGCCUUCACUUCUGCUCCCGCUGCCAGGCAGGAGCAGGCUGACAGGGAGAAGUGCUUUGCAAGCUGAGGAAUUGCAGCUGCCUCCAGCCCCGCCUGCCCGCGCCCUGAGCCUGGGACAGCUGACUGCGCACCCCGCACACGCUCAGGAUCCUUGUUUGGUGGCUGUCACCAUGGUGAUUGGAGCUGGACUGCCCUGCCCGCGCGGGGUGAGGGGUGAGAGGGUCAGCUUGGGUUAGGGGUGCACUCGGGGCGAGGGGGGAAAGGCUGAGGGGUGAAGGGCUGCUGGGAGUGAGGGGACCCCACUGAGGGGUGGGCGGUAGUCCCAGGGUGAAAGGUGAGGGGGACCAUCUUGAGAUGGUGGAGGGGACCCCGGG
rnacentral:lncRNA from 1 species